GACGAACCGUGCGAACGUUGUUCGGAAUCACUGGGCUUAAAGGGCGCGUAGGCGGACGACCAAGUCGGGGGUGAAAUCUUUCGGCUCAACCGGAAAAUAGCCUUCGAUACUGGCCGUCUGGAGGGAGGUAGGGGCGUGUGGAACUUCCGGUGGAGCGGUGAAAUGCGCAGAUAUCGGGAGGAACACCGGUGGCGAAGGCGGUUCUCUGGGCCUUACCUGACGCUGAGGAGCGAAAGCGUGGGGAGCGAACAGG
rnacentral:rRNA from 1 species